AGCGGAGUGAGAACAUGGGAAUAACAACAUAGACACCAAGUUUCAGAGCGGAGGAAGAGAGCAGCUUUAGUGGGUACCUGACAUUCAGCCAGGGUCAACCCACUACAGCAACCAUGAGGGCAAGCAGACAUUAACACCAGACCCUCUUUGGCACCUGUCCAGAAAGUAGAAAAUGAAUCUGUGGGAAAUUCACCUUCCAAGUUGUUCUGGAGUCAUAACAUUUAGAAAUCUAGACUGCUGCAGUCCUGGAUAGGCAAGCACAAUGAAAUUUCAUUAGAAUGUCAUCAGAUUACAUUGUUUCCAAUUAACAUUUUAAGUCUGAAAAAUCGGAAAUUCCUUCUUUAAAAAAAAAAAACCCUACUAACUGUCAGCUCUUGCAAUUUUCUUGGGGCUUUAUAUACCAGCUACAGAACUUCAGUGAUGUUGGAAACCAGCCAUUUAUUCAAACAAUUUUGCAUAUCAGAA